rnacentral:rRNA from 1 species
GUGCCAGCAGCCGCGGUAAUACGUAGGUGGCAAGCGUUAUCCGGAAUUAUUGGGCGUAAAGCGCGCGUAGGCGGUUUCUUAAGUCUGAUGUGAAAGCCCACGGCUCAACCGUGGAGGGUCAUUGGAAACUGGGAAACUUGAGUACAGAAGAGGAAAGUGGAAUUCCAUGUGUAGCGGUGAAAUGCGCAGAGAUAUGGAGGAACACCAGUGGCGAAGGCGACUUUCUGGUCUGUAACUGACGCUGAUGUGCGAAAGCGUGGGGAUCAAACAGGAUUAGAUA